UAAGCGGAGGAAAAGAAACUAACAAGGAUUCCCCUAGUAACUGCGAGUGAAGCGGGAAAAGCUCAAAUUUAAAAUCUGGCGGUCUUUGGCCGUCCGAGUUGUAAUUUAGAGAAGCGUCUUCCGCGCUGGACCGUGCACAAGUCUCCUGGAAUGGAGCGUCAUAGAGGGUGAGAAUCCCGUCUUUGGCACGGAUGCCUGGUGCUUCUGUGAUGCGCUCUCGAAGAGUCGAGUUGUUUGGGAAUGCAGCUCAAAAUGGGUGGUGAACUCCAUCUAAAGCUAAAUAUUGGCGAGAGACCGAUAGCGAACAAGUACCGUGAGGGAAAGGUGAAAAGCACUUUGGAAAGAGAGUGAAACAGUACGUGAAAUUGUUGAAAGGGAAACGCUUGAAGUCAGUCGCGUCGACCGAGACUCAGCCUUGCCUUGGCUUGGUGUACUUCUCGGCCCGACGGGUCAGCAUCAAUUUUGCCCCUCGGAUAAUGGCAGGGGAAAGGUGGCACCUUUACGGGUGUGUUAUAGUCUCCUGUCGAAUGCGAGGGGUGGGAUUGAGGAACUCAGCGCGCACCUCAGUGUCGGGGCUUCGGCCCACGUCACGCGCUUAGGAUGCUGGCGUAAUGGCUUUAAACGACC
rnacentral:rRNA from 1 species